GGAAGGAUGGUCUAAUGGACCAGGCACUGGAAUGGGAAUCAAGAGAACUGGGUUCAAUUCCCAGUUCUACCA
rnacentral:tRNA from 1 species